CAGCAGCCGCGGGAAUACGAAGGGGGCUAGCGUUGUUCGGAAUUACUGGGCGUAAAGCGCGUGUAGGCGGGCGUUUAAGUCAGGGGUGAAAUGCCAAGGCUCAACCUUGGAACUGCCUUUGAUACUGAAUGUCUUGAGUCCGGGAGAGGUGAGUGGAACUGCGAGUGUAGAGGCGAAAUUCGUAGAUAUUCGCAAGAACACCAGUGGCGAAGGCGGCUCACUGGCCCGGAACUGACGCUGAGACGCGAAAGCGUGGGGAGCAAACAGGAUUAGAUACCCCUGUAGUCCCUGUCUCUUAUAC
rnacentral:rRNA from 1 species